rnacentral:rRNA from 1 species
UGGGGAAUAUUGCACAAUGGGCGCAAGCCUGAUGCAGCCAUGCCGCGUGUGUGAAGAAGGCCUUCGGGUUGUAAAGCACUUUCAGCGGGGAGGAAGGCGUUAAGGUUAAUAACCUUGGCGAUUGACGUUACCCGCAGAAGAAGCACCGGCUAACUCCGUGCCAGCAGCCGCGGUAAUACGGAGGGUGCAAGCGUUAAUCGGAAUUACUGGGCGUAAAGCGCACGCAGGCGGUCUGUCAAGUCGGAUGUGAAAUCCCCGGGCUCAACCUGGGAACUGCAUUCGAAACUGGCAGGCUAGAGUCUUGUAGAGGGGGGUAGAAUUCCAGGUGUAGCGGUGAAAUGCGUAGAGAUCUGGAGGAAUACCGGUGGCGAAGGCGGCCCCCUGGACAAAGACUGACGUUCAGGUGCGAAAGCGUGGGGAGCAAACAGG